rnacentral:rRNA from 1 species
GACGAAGGGGGCUAGCGUUGUUCGGAAUUACUGGGCGUAAAGCGAGUGUAGGUGGUUGUCGUAGUCAGGCGUGAAAGCCUUGAGCUCAACUCAAGAAAUGCGCUUGAUACUGGGCAGCUAGAGGACCGGAGAGGAUAGUGGAAUUCCCAGUGUAGAGGUGAAAUUCGUAGAUAUUCGCAAGAACACCAGUGGCGAAGGCGGCUCACUGGCCCGGUACUGACGCUGAGGUGCGAAAGCGUGGGGAGCAAACAGG